ACGAUGAAGCUCCCUUUGCUCGACACAGAGAGCAGCAGAGGGUUCAUCCUCCGGCGAACAGCUACUACCAUGGCGUCCACCGAGAUAGCGAGGCAAGCGGGUGAAGGUGCUCGUGCCGUCCCUCUUGCCGGCCACGUCGGCUUUGACAGCAUGCCUGACCAGCUGGUCAAUAAGUCUGUCAACCACGGAUUCUGCUUUAACAUCCUUUGUGUUGGCGAGACGGGUCUGGGAAAGUCCACCCUGAUGGACACACUGUUUAACACAAAGUUUGAGGGGGAGCCCACCCAGCACAACCAGCCGGGAGUCACACUCAAGUCCAACACCUAUGAACUCCAGGAGAGUAACGUACGUCUCAAACUCACCGUCGUCAACACUGUGGGCUUCGGAGAUCAGAUCAACAAAGAAGACAGCUACAAGUCUAUCGUGGAGUUCAUCGACGCCCAGUUUGAAGCAUAUCUGCAGGAGGAGCUGAAGAUUAAACGCACGCUACACAGCUACCACGACACACGCAUCCAUGCAUGCCUCUAUUUCAUUGCACCAACAGGACACUCGCUCAAAUCCCUGGAUUUGGUGACCAUGAAGAAACUUGAUAGCAAGGUCAAUAUUAUUCCCAUCAUCGCCAAGUCGGACGCCAUUUCCAAGAGUGAGCUGGCCAAGUUCAAAAUCAAAAUCACCAGUGAGCUGGUCAGCAACGGAGUGCAGAUCUACCAGUUUCCCACUGACGACGAAUCUGUGGCAGAGAUCAACUCCACUAUGAACAGCCACUUGCCAUUUGCUGUAGUGGGGAGCACAGAGGAAGUGAAGAUUGGGAACAAGAUGGUAAAGGCCCGGCAGUACCCCUGGGGAACAGUUCAGGUGGAAAACGAGAACCAUUGUGAUUUCGUCAAACUGCGAGAAAUGCUGAUAAGAGUGAACAUGGAGGACCUGCGAGAGCAGACCCACACGCGUCACUACGAGCUCUACCGUCGUUGUAAACUUGAAGAAAUGGGCUUCAAGGAUACCGACCCUGACAGCAAACCUUUUAGUCUUCAGGAGACCUAUGAAGCCAAGAGGAACGAGUUCAUGGGUGAGUUGCAGAAGAAAGAAGAAGAGAUGAGGCAAAUGUUUGUCCAAAGAGUCAAAGAGAAGGAGGCCGAGCUCAAAGAAGCAGAGAAAGAGCUACAUGAGAAGUUUGACCGUUUAAAGAAGCUUCACCAGGACGAGAAAAAGAAACUGGAGGAUAAGAGGAAGUCUCUGGACGACGAGCUGAACAUGUUUAAACAGAAAAAGACUGCUGCAGAGCUCUUGCAGAACCAGGCCCAGCAGGCAGGGGGCUCCACCACACUCAAGCGGGACAAAGAGAGGAAAAACUGAUGUGACGUCGUGCCUGUUAGAAAAAGGAAGAAGACACUUGCACUGAGAAGUAAUCCCUGGCUCUGCACUGAGUAGGUCCUCAGCCCUCAAGCUUUGCUAAGGGACCAGCCCUUUGUGGGUACUGAGUACCUCAAAUGUGACCAGAGGCUUUCUGGACCCCAUCCUUCAGGGUUUCUUAAUCAUUACCUGCUUUGCUAUAAUAUUGCUCCAUGUGUAACUGUGUUUUGCUGCAGCUCUAACCCUCAGCCAUAUUAAGUCCUGCUGUGCUGCCUCUGCUUAUGUUUAUACUUUAUGUGCACUGUGUGUUGUUAUUGUGACUAACAGUAUUUCCACUUGAGUUUACUGAAGAUUAGAUGAGCACUUGUUUUUUUAAGUUAUAUUUGUGUGGUGUUAAGUUUCACAAGACAAUCAUGUGCACCUGUAACAAGUAAUUUCAGCACCAUCACUCGACCUUAACCCAUGAUUUGUUAUGCUAUUAUUAAAACUGCUGUUAUGACAGGGUUUGUACCACCUCACUUUUUCUACCUGAUACCAGAUGCACUUCUAAAUACCGAGCUUGACUUUUUUGAAAGAGUUCCUGCUUUGCCUCUUCCUCUCUAACUGCUGGCUUUCUCUCUCUUUGUCUCUUUAGCUUCUUUUAAUCUGUCUCAACCACCUGAAGAGGGGAUUGCAGCUUCGGCAAGAACUAAGCACCCUUUACCUCUUCCUGUUUUAUCUCGCUGUUUUGAACCCUUUUUUAUCCUCCCUAUGGCAUCCCCAUUUCUUCUCAUUAUUUUUUUUAAUAUGGCCUUAUGUGGACUCGCAUGGUAUUUCUGAACCACCCCUUAUGAAGCUCCAACCCAGGCAGGGUGGGAACCGGGCACAGUUUGAAUCUGCUUUAAUGUCUUAAUGUACAUAAGGAGACUCUUUUAGUUGAAAGUCAUCAGUUAGACAUCUUUAAGACUCAUUUUGGAAACCAUUACCUUAUCUUUGCUUGACGCAAAAUAGCAACGAUCUGCACUAUGCACUCAUCUUUUCAAAAAUAUACUUAAUACAAUUUUAGUCAAACACUCAAACAUCAAGGUUUGCUGAUUAAAAAUUCAUCAAGGACUGAAGCACUUAAUGUAGGAUGUGUUAUCAAGGUUCAACAAAAGUAGUGUUUUUUUCUUAUCUAGUUCAGCUUGAGAUAAAAAUCUGAAAAAUUAAAUUGGUCAUUAUCACCGAAAAGCCAAAGCAAUAUUUUCUAUAUAGCACUUCAUUUGAUGGUGCCCAUGUUUACAUGUCACUGUUGAAUACCAUGGAGGUCACAUGUGAUGGCCUUUUACUACACAUUGUGCUUUGAGAUUCACCUGCCUACUCUAUAUUUUGCAUGCAUCUUAUUGUUUUAUUACCACUGUGAUCUCAGACCUGCCUGUUUUUAUACCCUUAAAACUCUGGUUUGCAGUCUAUUUCAACUUCAUUGCUGUUUCUUCAAAUGGUGCAUAUAGUUAAUAAUGUAUAUUUGCUCUGUCCUAUUAUUUCAGCUCCCUUUUCUGCCAAAUAAGUACAAGGUGGCAUUGAUCUGAAUCCCAGAAAUGAGUUUAAAAAAAAAGAAGACAAUAUUCAUGCAUUUAUAUAAUUUAUAAGGAUAUAUUUUGUGUAUUGAAGUGGAGACUUGUUGUUUAUUACCUAUGAUCUUUGGACGUGACUCUGAGUGUAAAGUAACAUUUUGGUGUCAGAAAAUGACAUACAUUUUUCUAGUAUCCGUCAUCAUUCCUUGUUGUCAAACCUCCCACACCACAAAUGAUUCAGUAUCUUACUUUAGUUUAAUUCCAUUGAUGUACAUUUUCAAUAAAAAUAUGAACCAAACAA